UUUCCGUAGGUGAACCUGCGGAAGGAUCAUUACAGAGUUCAUGCCCUUCGGGGUAGAUCUCCCACCCUUGUGUAUCAUUAUAGAAUGUUGCUUUGGCGGGCCGCGUGCCUAGCACGCCUUGCGUGCCCGCCAGAGGACCCCUAAACUCUGAAUGUUAGUGUCGUCUGAGUACUAUUAAAUAGUUAAAACUUUCAACAACGGAUCUCUUGGUUCUGGCAUCGAUGAAGAACGCAGC
rnacentral:misc_RNA from 1 species